rnacentral:rRNA from 1 species
GAUGAACGCUGGCGGCGUGCCUAAUACAUGCAAGUCGAGCGAACAGACGAGGAGCUUGCUCCUCUGACGUUAGCGGCGGACGGGUGAGUAACACGUGGAUAACCUACCUAUAAGACUGGGAUAACUUCGGGAAACCGGAGCUAAUACCGGAUAAUAUAUUGAACCGCAUGGUUCAAUAGUGAAAGACGGUUUUGCUGUCACUUAUAGAUGGAUCCGCGCCGCAUUAGCUAGUUGGUAAGGUAACGGCCUACCAAGGCAACGAUGCGUAGCCGACCUGAGAGGGUGAUCGGCCACACUGGAACUGAGACACGGUCCAGACUCCUACGGGAGGCAGCAGUGGGGAAUAUUCCGCAAUGGGCGAAAGCCUGACGGAGCCACGCCGCGUGAGUGAUGAAGGUCUUCGGAUCGUAAAACCCUUUUAUUAGGGAAGAAAAAAUGUGUAAGUAACUAUGCACGUCUUGACGGUACCUAAUCAGAAAGCAACGGCUAACUACGUG